AAUGUUUUCAAUUUCCGCAAAGCUCUCAUUAACUUUUUAAUCCGCCAAUAAUCGCAUUCUAAUCCUCACAUAAUCUUUCGAGAAAACUGGGCUCUUCUCUCUACACUAUACAAAAUCAAUCUCUCAAUUUCUCAAUGAACACUUGUCCAAGCCUCUUCCCAUGCCGACGCUUUAUCAAUCUCCUUGCUUCCUUUCUUUCUCUUCUCAUAAGUUCUUCUUAAUUCAAGGAGGAUGCAAGAUAAGCUGGAAUACCCGUUACCACCCGCCUCAAAAAAAUUUCAGAUUUUGUGUCUGUUCGGCAAAGAAAUCCAGGGGCGGGAGAAAGGUAAAGAGCAAUAUAGAGCUUUGCAAUGAUAUCCGAGAAUUUAUAUCAGCUGUUGGACUUCCAGAGGGUCAUGUUCCCUCAAUGAAGGAGCUUUCUGAUCAUGGAAGAACUGAUCUUGCGCACAUUGUGAGGCGGAGAGGAUAUAAAGUUAUUAGAGAUUUGCUUUCAAACUCCAUGGAAGAGGAAAUUGAUGGAUCCAAUAUAGAGAAAAGCUUACCCAAAGAACAGGACACAAUCAGUGAUCACACAGAUAUACUAACAGAAGGCCAGGACGAAAAGGUCGAGGAUAUUAUUGAAGAUAGUUCGUUGCCAACUGAAGUCCCCAUCAUCUAUUACCAUUCAGACAGUGCAGGCAGUAACCCAGAAUGCAACUCUAGUGAUCACAGUUCCAAGCAUACAGAAUCAUUGGUCAGAGUGUCAUUGGAUAUAGAAUGGCAAAAUGAUGAGGAUAAAAGCAUGGUCAAAGACAUAAAUUCUUCAACACCCUUAUCUAAUAUUGAACAACAGCUUGGGGAGGUUCAAAAUGUAGUUCAACAAAGAUCCUCCGCAACACCCUUUGGUAAUGUAGAACAGCAGGAUCAAGAGGCCUUAAGCGUGGUUGAAGAUAAUUCCUUGUCAACUGAAGUUUUGAUCAUGGAUAACUCGCAUGGUAGUUUGAAUUGGUAUCUUGAUCCCAACUCCGAUAUCAAUACCUUUGUGCCUAUGGAAAGUUCAGUUAAUUCCUCCCUGGGAGAAAAGGGCUUAGACAAUUCAAAAGGUCAGCAGGAGAAGGUCAACAGAAUGGCUGAAGACAUUGUGUUGCCAACUGGAGUUUUAAACUUGAAACGUCCAGCUGAUAGCCCUGUUUCAAGUCUCAACUUUGGUGAUCAUAGUAGCAUGCCUGGAGAUCCUGCAGCCAUGUCUUUGGAGGAUAAGGUGGCAAAGUUUAUUCAGAGCGGAGAUUUGGAUGUCAUUGAAGAUACUUUCUAUGGCAUAUUGGACGAAAGCACCAAAGAUAGUGAGGGGGUUAAUGAACCAGAGAAUGAGACUGAAAUUCCAUCAAAGACACCUUCAGAAGAGAAAUUUGAACAUGCAGUUAGCAGAAGCAAUGAUGCUUUGGCAUUGAAUGGGAAUAUACCAACAUCCAAGCACAACUUGCCUCCUGUGAGGAUUUACCACCCUGCUAGGAAUGACAGUUUGUCAGAUGAAGGCCCAGCCAGUUCUGAUCUUGACAAGGAUUAUGAUGUUGAGACCAACAAGAGGGAGAAUCAGAUUGGGAUUAAUCAUCUCAAACUCAUGCUGGUAAUGGUACAUACAUUUUCUUUGAACUUGUAUGUCUUCUAGUUCUGUGAUGAUGGAACUUUGUUUUAUUGGCUAAUUUGUUAAAUCUUUUGGUUGCUUAGCGUCAAAAAGAGUUGGAACUAUCCCGUUUGAAGGAACAGAUUGAGAAGGAAAAGGUAGAUAAGCUAGCGCAGCCUGGCUGAUGUCCUGCAUUCAAGUUGUUUUUUUUUUGUUGUCCACUGCAUAUAAGUAGCUAGAUUGCAUAACUUGAGUUUGACUACAUCACUCAAAGCAUUAAAUGUGAAGGUGAAGUUAAGCAUUAGAUAAAUAAUUCAUGGCAUAUCCAAUGGCUUUUCUAUUGGAUGAAGAUGAAGCAUUAGAAUAGAAAGGUAACAUUUCAAUGGUUCUUUUUUUUUUGUUAUUGUACUAACAUUUGAACGGUUGAGCUUUUAGCUCAUUGAACAUUUUAUUCAUGUCCUUGACAUUGUUCUGAGUGUAAUGCUUUAAUUUAGAUGGAAGAAGUUGAUGGUGGGCAAUUAUUGUCUACGAUGUUGGAUAUGCAUGAGAACUUAGCAGUGUUUCCCUUAUUCAAUUAUUUUGUUGUUUUUUUUUGGUUUUGGAUGACAAGCCUUAGAUGCACAGCAGUUUUUAAUAAACACCGAAUGAAAAACUCCAAUCAUAAAAGCAUUUCCUUACCUUUUUUUAACAUGUUCCAGUUUUACAUAUUAAAAUUUCUUACCAUGAUAGAUGAAAUUCAAAGUUUGGUGAUAUUUGCAGAUAUUGAUAACUCCAUUUUCAUGUACUACAUUUUAGCAUUUUUACUCCUGCAAAUGUAAUGUUCUUUUCUUUAACACUUAAAUUAUUUUGCGUUUGAUUGCUGCCCGCAGCUUGCUUUAUCUGAUUUACAAACUAAGGCUGAAAGAGAGAUUAGCAAAGCUCAAAAACUUAUCUCUGAAAAAGAUGUUGAACUACUUGCUGCUGAAGAAAGCCUUUCUGGAUUGGUGGAGGUUAAAAUCCAAUACACUGGGGAUGGUGAAAUUGUGGAGGUGGCAGGUAGCUUCAGUGGUUGGCAUCACCCGAUUAAAAUGGAUCCUCAGCCAUCUUCUAGCAAUUCAGAUACUACAGGAUCAAGGAAAUCCAGAUUUUGGUCAACAAUGCUGUGGCUUUAUCCAGGUGUAUAUGAGGUGUGAACAUCUGCAGCCGAAUAGUUAUGCUACUGCUCAUUUGUUAUAGUUUACAUCUGAAAAUAAUUAGUAUUUUAGAUAUGGGUAUGCUAGCUACUGAUCUGUUGGGAGUUCAUGAAAUCAUUUAGCUUUUACAUAAUUGCAUACACUGCUUGGUUGCUGGCUUAGUACUGCUGAAUGGGCAGAGUUCAGAAAAGCAAGUGGCAUCUCCAUGAAUCAGAUGGAGCAAGUCCACUUUAGGUUCUAAGAGCUGUGGAGCCUAUAAUUCAUACCAUAAUUACUUGGAGUUGAUAUUUCUUAUAAAAUUGAUCCUAUUGUCAAAACUGACACUCAGUGAUGCAUCCAAGUAUGUGAAAUUCUUUCUCUGAUAAUUAUUAGGAUUCUUAACCAUGAAAUCAUCUAUUAUUGCUCCCAAGAUAUUUUAUUUAAUCCUUUCAUGUAGUUUUUAUGGCACUUUGUUUAUGAUGGGGAGAGAGAUGUGUAGCACAAUCAAGAUCGACAUUUCUGAGCAUGAUUUUUUUCUUUUAUAUUUGUUUCUAUUUUAAUAUUUUCUAAAGGACAGCAUUUAUGUUCUGCAACUGGGAAUACUACGGCAAAAAUUUAUUACAGCAGAAGAUUAUUGCAAAUUCACAGGUUCAUUUACUUGGUCCCAAGCAUGCCAUGUAUCAAAUGAGUAUUGUAAUAUCCUGCGACAGUUGUUGACAACAUUAAAGUUUUUCGUUGUUUGACAAGGAAACAAGAGUACCCAAAUUAUUUGUUCUGCUGUUGUCAUAUUCUGUCAAUGAGAUGCAAUAGCAUCACCUAAGCUAGAUCUACAAUCUACUGUUCGACAUGUUUCACCUUCUGUAACUAUUAUUCUCUAAAUUUGAUGUAUUACUACUGCAGAUAAAAUUCAUUGUCGAUGGCCAUUGGAAGAUUGAUCCUCAGAUAGAGUCAGUUACCAAUGGUGGAAUUUGUAACAAUAUUCUCCAAGUUGUUGGAUGAAAGGUUUUUGGGCCUUCAUUCAUGGAAGACAUUCUAGUUCUCUGUCUAAACUUAAGGUAAAUGAAGUAUUUACUUCUCAGAGCCCCUUCAAUAUCAAUUUGAGAAUGGUGAGCCUUUCAUGCUCUAGGUUGAGGUAACAGAUUGUAACUGAAUCUUAUUAGGAUCUGUGCAUCACUAUUUCUGAAGGCUCAGAACCAAUAAGAUGAUGCACGCCAUCUAUCUGUUCACUGAUAAGAUGUGUCUCAGUUAUUCUUUGUAUUUUCCAGUCAUUUAUAAAAGUUGUAUCACUUGCGUAACAGCUAUUAAAAUUUCUAUCGAUUUAGGAAUUUUUAGCUCCUAUUGCGCAAGUAUCAUGUGCUUAUUUCUCCUGGCUUCUUUUUUGCAGUGCAGAACACUGAUAAAUUGGAUAUUGUACAGACGACAGAAAAAUUUAAGCAAGCAAGAUUUUGUGGAUUCUGGAUUAAUGCUGCAACUGUGUACCUUUCAAAUAAGAGUCUUUGCGUUCUGUGCAGCGUAUAAAAUUUUGUAUUCAUCAGGGUAACCAUGCAUCCAUUGACAAAAACUUGGCUAGCCGCAGGUAGAAGCCCAAGGCUUGCUAUGGAGAGAGUAAUGUCAAUGUACCAUGCUACGUACUAUACUGGUGUUAACUAGUGCUAAAACGUUUGAAUUAGGUAUAGUUACUGGAUACUAGGUGAGUUUCUGAGAAGCAGUGAAAUUUAAUUAGAAGAGUUGUUCAUGUGUAUCUGAAAUUGAUUAUGUAAAUUUUGAAUUAGUAAGAAUCGGUUUGACGGAGAUUUGGAAUCUUUAUUGAUCUUUACAUUCAUAAAUCUUCUGCUACAUGUUUAUUCAAUAGAGCAUCAAGCUUUUG
rnacentral:misc_RNA from 1 species